AGUCAUAUGCUUGUCUUAAAGAUUAAGCCAUGCAUGUCUAAGUAUAAGCUUUUAUACGGCGAAACUGCGAAUGGCUCAUUAAAACAGUUAUAGUUUAUUUGAUGGUCUUUACUACAUGGAUAACCGUGGUAAUUCUAUGGCUAAUACAUGCGCACAUACCUCUUCCCUCGUGGAAGGGUAGUGUUUAUUAGAUACAGAACCAACCCACCUUCGGGUGGUCCUCAGGUGAUUCAUAGUAACCGAACGGAUCGCAUUAUGGCCUUUUGGUCGGCGAUGGAUCAUUCAAGUUUCUGACCUAUCAGCUUUCGACGGUACUGUAUUGGACUACCGUGGCAGUGACGGGUAACGGGGAAUUAGGGUUCGAUUCCGGAGAGGGAGCCUGAGAAACGGCUACCACAUCUAAGGAAGGCAGCAGGCGCGCAAAUUACCCAAUCCUGACUCAGGGAGGUAGUGACAAGAAAUAACAACACUGGAAAUUAUAUUUCUAGUGAUUGGAAUGAUGGGAAUCCAAACCCCUUUCAGAGUAACAAUUGGAGGGCAAGUCUGGUGCCAGCAGCCGCGGUAAUUCCAGCUCCAAUAGCGUAUAUUAAAGUUGUUGCAGUUAAAAAGCUCGUAGUUGGAUAUCUGCUGGAAGCAGCCAGUCCGCCCUUUGUGGGUGUGCACUUGGUGAAUUCUGGCAUCCUCCUGAUUGGUGUUAUCAUCACUUCAUUGUGUUGAUGGCAGCUGUCAGGACCGUUACUUUGAGAAAAUUAGAGUGUUUCAAGCAGGCUUGUUGCCU
rnacentral:rRNA from 1 species